rnacentral:rRNA from 1 species
GUGGGGAAUAUUGGACAAUGGGCGCAAGCCUGAUCCAGCAAUGCCGCGUGGGUGAAGAAGGUCUUCGGAUUGUAAAGCCCUUUCGGCGGGGACGAUGAUGACGGUACCCGCAGAAGAAGCCCCGGCUAACUUCGUGCCAGCAGCCGCGGUAAUACGAAGGGGGCUAGCGUUGCUCGGAAUUACUGGGCGUAAAGGGCGCGUAGGCGGCCAGAUUAGUCAGGCGUGAAAUUCCUGGGCUCAACCUGGGGACUGCGCUUGAUACGGUUUGGCUUGAGGGCAGGAGAGGCUCGCGGAAUUCCCAGUGUAGAGGUGAAAUUCGUAGAUAUUGGGAAGAACACCGGUGGCGAAGGCGGCGAGCUGGCCUGUUACUGACGCUGAGGCGCGACAGCGUGGGGAGCAAACAGGAUUAGAAACCCCUGUAGUCC